CAUAGGUGAGAAGUGCCCACAUAUUCUAAAGAGAGGAGCUGGAUUCAUCACCACAGCUCAAGACAAUAGAUCACCCCAGGUAACUGUCUCACCACAUCAAUCUAUUGAUUCUCACUGCACGGAGUGAAGAAGAAACCACCAGAUCAGAUAAGUCAACAUUUUCACUGGACCUAUUGGACUGAAAUGGCAAGACUGAAUGAGG